rnacentral:rRNA from 1 species
AACUUUCAACAACGGAUCUCUUGGCUUUUGCAUCGAUGAAGAACGCAGCAGC